rnacentral:rRNA from 1 species
CCUACGUGAGGCAGCAGUGGGGAAUAUUGGACAAUGGGGGGAACCCUGAUCCAGCGACGCCGCGUGAGUGAAGAAGUAUUUCGGUAUGUAAAGCUCUAUCAGCAGGGAAGAAAGAAAUGACGGUACCUGACUAAGAAGCCCCGGCUAACUACGUGCCAGCAGCCGCGGUAAUACGUAGGGGGCAAGCGUUAUCCGGAUUUACUGGGUGUAAAGGGAGCGUAGACGGCGAUGCAAGUCUGAAGUGAAAGGCGGGGGCCCAACCCCCGGACUGCUUUGGAAACUGUAUGGCUGGAGUGCAGGAGAGGUAAGUGGAAUUCCGAGUGUAGCGGUGAAAUGCGUAGAUAUUAGGAGGAACACCAGUGGCGAAGGCGGCUUACUGGACUGUAACUGACGUUGAGGCUCGAAAGCGUGGGGAGCAAACAGGAUUAGAUACCCUAGUAGUC